CGAGUCAGCUGGGCAAUCGCUGGUCCUAGUUCUUCUUUCGUCGCUUUGCGUCGUUCGAGGACGGGGUCGGAGGAAAGUCCGGGCUCCGCAGAGCAGGGUGCCAGGUAACGCCUGGGAGGCGCAAGCCUACGGCUAGUGCAGCAGAAAAUAUACCGCCAGAUCAAGCGUGAAGUCCUCAAGACCACUGUAAGGUGUGUGCUGAGAGACGUGUGAUUCGGUAAGGGUGAAAAGGUGCGGUAAGAGCGCACCGCGCGACUGGUAACAGUUCGUGGCAGUGUAAACCCCACUCGGAGCAAGGCCAAAUAGGAACCCAUCGAUGCUGCUCGCAUUGGGUUCGGGUAGGCCGCUAAAGGCUUGCGGUGACGUAAGCCAUAGAUGAAUGAUUGUCCUCGACAGAACCCGGCUUAUAGGCUGGCUCACUUU
rfam:Cryomorphaceae bacterium BACL22 MAG-120619-bin3 contig00263_1_120619-bin3, whole genome shotgun sequence.